rnacentral:rRNA from 1 species
GUGGGGAAUAUUGCACAAUGGGCGAAAGCCUGAUGCAGCGACGCCGCGUGAGGGAUGACGGCCUUCGGGUUGUAAACCUCUUUCAGCUCCGAAGAAGCGCAAGUGACGGUAGGAGCAGAAGAAGCACCGGCUAACUACGUGCCAGCAGCCGCGGUAAUACGUAGGGUGCAAGCGUUGUCCGGAAUUAUUGGGCGUAAAGAGCUCGUAGGCGGUGUGUCGCGUCUGCUGUGAAAACUCAGGGCUCAACUCUGAGCUUGCAGUGGGUACGGGCACACUAGAGUGCUGUAGGGGAGACUGGAAUUCCUGGUGUAGCGGUGAAAUGCGCAGAUAUCAGGAGGAACACCGGUGGCGAAGGCGGGUCUCUGGGCAGUUACUGACGCUGAGGAGCGAAAGCAUGGGGAGCGAACAGG